CUUUUGUUCGGCAGAGGGGAGGGCUGUUGUCGGGGCCUGCGGUACGCGGCUUCAGGGAGGGGUUCCUUCGCAGCCACUCGCCUUGUUGCUUUUGUGGGUGCCACUCCCCUGGCCGGCCCGAUGCGACACGCCAGUAGCGUGGCACCGAUUCCCCUCUGGUUCUUGGGUGCUGCUCUGAGCAGCGUCACCGUUUAUACCAGAAAGCUGGCGGGUACUAUGGGGAAAAAACAAAACAAGAAGAAAGUGGAAGAGGUGCUAGAAGAGGAGGAAGAGAAAUAUGUGGUGGAAAAGGUUCUCAACCGCCGAGUGGUAAAGGGCAAAGUGGAGUACCUUCUAAAGUGGAAGGGUUUCUCAGAUGCAGACCACACGUGGGAGCCAGAAGAGAACCUGGACUGUCGUGACCUCAUUGCUGAGUUUCUACAGUCACAGAAAACAGCUCAUGAGACAGAGAAAUCAGAGGGAGGCAAGCGCAAAGCUGAUUCUGAUUCUGAAGAUGAGGGAGAGGAAAGUAAACGAAAGAAGAAAGAAGAGUCAGAAAAGCCACGAGGCUUUGCCCGGGGUUUGGAGCCGGAGCGGAUUAUUGGAGCUACAGACUCCAGUGGAGAGCUGAUUUCCUGAUGAAAUGGAAAAACUCUCAUGAGGCUGACCUGGUCCCCGCCAAGGAAGCCAACGUCAAGUGCCCACAGGUUGUCAUAUCCUUCUAUGAGGAAAGGCUGACGUGGCAUUCCUACCCCUCGGAGGAUGAUGACAAAAAAGAUGACAAGAAUUAA